rnacentral:rRNA from 1 species
UGAAAGACGGCCUAAUACCCGAUGUUGUCCACAUAUGGCAUCUGACGUGGACCAAAGAUUCAUCGGUGGAGGAUGGGGAUGCGUCUGAUUAGCUUGUUGGUGCGGGUAACGGCCCACCAAGGCGACGAUCAGUAGGGGUUCUGAGAGGAAGGUCCCCCACAUUGGAACUGAGACACGGUCCAAACUCCUACGGGAGGCAGCAGUGAGGAAUAUUGGUCAAUGGACGUAAGUCCGAACCAGCCAAGUAGCGUGCAGGAUUGACGGCCCUAUGGGUUGUAAACUGCUUUUGUUGGGGAGUAAAGUGAGGCACGUGUGCCUUUUUGCAUUUACCCUUCGAAUAAGGACCGGCUAAUUCCGUGCCAGCAGCCGCGGUAAUACGGAAGGUCCAGGCGUUAUCCGGAUUUAUUGGGUUUAAAGGGAGUG